rnacentral:rRNA from 1 species
GUGGGGAAUAUUGGACAAUGGGGGGAACCCUGAUCCAGCCAUGCCGCGUGUGUGAAGAAGGCCUUUUGGUUGUAAAGCACUUUAAGCGAGGAGGAGGCUACCGAGAUUAAUACUCUUGGAUAGUGGACGUUACUCGCAGAAUAAGCACCGGCUAACUCUGUGCCAGCAGCCGCGGUAAUACAGAGGGUGCAAGCGUUAAUCGGAUUUACUGGGCGUAAAGCGCGCGUAGGUGGCCAAUUAAGUCAAAUGUGAAAUCCCCGAGAUUAACUUGGGAAUUGCAUUCGAUACUGGUUGGCUAGAGUAUGGGAGAGGAUGGUAGAAUUCCAGGUGUAGCGGUGAAAUGCGUAGAGAUCUGGAGGAAUACCGAUGGCGAAGGCAGCCAUCUGGCCUAAUACUGACACUGAGGUGCGAAAGCAUGGGGAGCAAACAGGAUUAGAUACCCGGGUAGUCC